UACGUAGGCAGCAAGCGUUGUUCGGAGUUACUGGGCGUAAAGGGUGUGUAGGCGGUUUUUUAAGUUUGGUGUGAAAUCUCCCGGCUUAACUGGGAGGGUGCGGCGGAAACUGGGACGCUGGAGUACGGGAGAGGUAAGCGGAAUUCCUGGUGUAGCGGUGAAAUGCGUAGAUAUCAGGAGGAACACCUGCGGUGUAGACGGCUUACUGGACCGUAACUGACGCUGAGGCACGAAAGCGUGGGUAGCAAACAGG
rnacentral:rRNA from 1 species